rnacentral:rRNA from 1 species
UACGUCCUGAGGGAGAAAGUGGGGGAUCUUCGGACCUCACGCUAUCAGAUGAGCCUAGGUCGGAUUAGCUAGUUGGUGGGGUAAAGGCCUACCAAGGCGACGAUCCGUAACUGGUCUGAGAGGAUGAUCAGUCACACUGGAACUGAGACACGGUCCAGACUCCUACGGGAGGCAGCAGUGGGGAAUAUUGGACAAUGGGCGAAAGCCUGAUCCAGCCAUGCCGCGUGUGUGAAGAAGGUCUUCGGAUUGUAAAGCACUUUAAGUUGGGAGGAAGGGCAGUAAGUUAAUACCUUGCUGUUUUGACGUUACCAACAGAAUAAGCACCGGCUAACUUCGUGCCAGCAGCCGCGGUAAUACGAAGGGUGCAAGCGUUAAUCGGAAUUACUGGGCGUAAAGCGCGCGUAGGUGGUUC